rnacentral:misc_RNA from 1 species
AUGUUCUUGGUGAAUCUCUUCAGUUGCUUCUUCACUUGAGAGAUUGUCAACAACAGGUUGGUAAAGGUUCUCAACUAUUCCCUUUUCUGUAUUGAUCUGCUUUUGAAUUGUCUCACUUGCAUCAGUCUUUUCAAUUUCCUCACAUAACGCUUCAUUUUGUGUUGUCUUUGUCAAUACCUCAUCUCCUUUACUUUCUUUACCCUUGAUCUCAUGUUCUUGGUGAAUCUCUUCAGUUGCUUCUUCACUUGAGAGAUUGUCAACAACAGGUUGGUAAAGGUUCUCAACUAUUCCCUUUUCUGUAUUGAUCUGCUUUUGAAUUGUCUCACUUGCAUCAGU